UACAGGGGGGGCAAGCGUUGUUCGGAAUUACUGGGCGUAAAGGGUUCGUAGGUGGCCACUUAAGUCAGACGUGAAAUCCCUCAGCUUAACUGGGGAACUGCGUCUGAUACUGAGUGGCUUGAGUGCAGGAGAGGAAUGCGGAAUUCCAGGUGUAGCGGUGAAAUGCGUAGAUAUGCGGAGGAACACCGGUGGCGAAGGCGGCAUCCUGGACCAACACUGACGCUGAGGAGCGAAAGCCAGGGGAGCAAACGGG
rnacentral:rRNA from 1 species